UGCCCGAAAGGGCGACGAAGCGACGCCGCGUGGGUGAGGAAGGCCUUCGGGUUGUAAAGCCCUGUCAGGAGUUAAGAAAUGUAGACUCGCUAAUAUCGGGUCUAUUUGACAAAGGCUCCAAAGGAAGCCACGGCUAACUCUGUGCCAGCAGCCGCGGUAAUACAGAGGUGGCAAGCGUUGUUCGGAAUUAUUGGGCGUAAAGAGCACGUAGGUGGAUUUGUAAGUCAGACGUGAAAGCCUUCUGUUCAACGGAAGAAUUGCAUCUGAAACUACAAACCUUGAGUGUAGGAGGGGAGAAUGGAACUUCUGGUGGAGCGGUGAAAUGCGUAGAUAUCAGAAGGAACGCCGGCGGCGAAAGCGAUUCUCUGGCCUAUUACUGACACUCAGUGUGCGAAAGCUAGGGGAGCAAACGGGAUUAGAUACCCCGGUAGUCCUAGCCGUAAACGAUGGGCACUAAGUAGAGGGG
rnacentral:rRNA from 1 species